UUGCUCACUCACUCACUCACUCACU
rnacentral:piRNA from 1 species